UCACAAGAACCAUUGUCGCAUGAGAGUAA
rnacentral:piRNA from 1 species